GUGAAGGUGGUCAGGGCAGAGGGCUGCGGUUCCCCUGUACCUUGAUUGGAAUCCUCCAGAAAGCACACAGACCUGCAUCUCUCCUAACCUGCCCAUGGGGACCUCUGCCUUUGCAUGGAGUCUUUCUAAGUCUUUUCCCCAUGGGUUUGGGGAAAGCCCCCUCUCAGGAAGGCUGGAUUUCCAGCUCCACCGCAGGAUGUGGGGUUCCCAUCAAUGGGCCUGGCUGGUGAGGUGGCUGAAGCCACGGGGAAACAGGGCAGGCUGGGUCCUGACCUCAGCCCCUGGAGGCUGGACGCCCACCUCGCCUAAUAUGCCACUGCAAGGCUGUGUCCUCUUCCUCUCUGCAAAACUGAGCUUCCCAUGCCUGAAGGUCCCACAGCACCAAGGCCAGGGCUGGCUGGGGACACCACUCCAUAGGAAAAGUACUGGAGAUCCACCUCCUGAUGGUCCACGAGGGGCCUGGCCUUGUCCUCCUGGUCACCACCAUACCCUAGCACAGCACACAGUCUACCCUGGGCCCUCAAUCGACAUCCUGUGAAAGAAGGAAGGGAGGCAGGGAGUGGCAGGAGCACAUGUGACCAAGGCUACAACUGUCUGUGUCCGUGCUGUCCCCUGCCUAGACUGGGCAGGGCACUGCUGAAGCCAGGUACAGAUCCCCUGGCUUGAGGGAGUAGCAACAGAUCGGCA
rnacentral:lncRNA from 1 species